rnacentral:rRNA from 1 species
AGAGUUUGAUCCUGGCUCAGAACGAACGCUGGCGGAAGGCUUAACACAUGCAAGUCGAGCGCACCCUUCGGGGUGAGCGGCAGACGGGUGAGUAACGCGUGGGAACGUACCCUUUGGUUCGGAAUAGCCCUUGGAAACGAGGAGUAAUGCCGGAUAAGCCCUACGGGGGAAAGAUUUAUCGCCGAAGGAUCGGCCCGCGUUAGAUUAGCUAGUUGGUGGGGUAAAAGCCUACCAAGGCGACGAUCUAUAGCUGGUCUGAGAGGAUGAUCAGCCACACUGGGACUGAGACACGGCCCAGACUCCUACGGGAGGCAGCAGUGGGGAAUCUUGGACAAUGGGCGCAAGCCUGAUCCAGCCAUUCCGCGUGGAUGAUGAAGGCCUUAGGGUUGUAAAAUCCUUUCAGCGGGGAAGAUAAUGACGGUACCCGCAGAAGAAGCCCCGGCUAACUCCGUGCCAGCAGCCGCGGUAAUACGGAGGGGGCUAGCGUUGUUCGGAAUUACUGGGCGUAAAGCGCGCGUAGGCGGAUCAGCCAGUCAGAGGUGAAAGCCCAGGGCUCAACCCUGGAACUGCCUUUGAUACUGUUGAUCUGGAGUUCGGUAGAGGUGUGUGGAAUUCCGAGUGUAGAGGUGAAAUUCGUAGAUAUUCG